rnacentral:rRNA from 1 species
GGGGAAUAUUGCACAAUGGGGGAAACCCUGAUGCAGCGACGCCGCGUGAGUGAAGAAGUAUUUCGGUAUGUAAAGCUCUAUCAGCAGGGACGAUAAUGACGGUACCUGACUAAGAAGCCCCGGCUAACUACGUGCCAGCAGCCGCGGUAAUACGUAGGGGGCAAGCGUUAUCCGGAUUUACUGGGUGUAAAGGGAGCGUAGACGGUGACGUAAGUCAGAUGUGAAAACCCAGGGCUCAACCCUGGGACUGCAUUUGAAACUAUGUUACUAGAGUGCAGGAGAGGUAAGUGGAAUUCCUAGUGUAGCGGUGAAAUGCGUAGAUAUUAGGAGGAACACCAGUGGCGAAGGCGGCUUACUGGACUGUAACUGACGUUGAGGCUCGAAAGCGUGGGGAGCAAAC